rnacentral:rRNA from 1 species
CCUGGCUCAGAUUGAACGCUGGCGGCAUGCCUAACACAUGCAAGUCGAACGGCAGCAUUUUCUAGCUUGCUAGAAAGAUGGCGAGUGGCGGACGGGUGAGUAAUGCGCAGGAAUAUACCUUAAAGAGGGGGACAACUUGGGGAAACUCAAGCUAAUACCGCAUAAUCUCUGAGGAGAGAAGCUGGGGACCUUCGGGCCUGGCGCUUUAAGAUUAGCCU